rnacentral:lncRNA from 1 species
UUUAAAAUUAUAUAUAAUUUUACUUGUUUGUUAUAUUAUAUAAUUGAAAUUAUAUUUUUAUAUCUAUAUUUAUAAUUAUAUCUUUAUAUAUUAAUUUUAUCACUAUUCUCAAACAUUGAAAUAUUUAUUAAAUAUUUCAUAAAAUAUUUAAGGGUAAAAUUACCAUUCAACGUAAAUUUUAUCAGUCCAGUAAUCUUAUUCUCACAUAAGCAUCCAAACACUAUCGAAAAUAUCCUCCGUGAACAAAUAAUUAAUAUUCAAACGUAAAUUUAUAGUUAUUCUAACUUAUAUCAAAAUAUUCUCUAUUCUUGG